CCCGCCAUAGCUCAGCUUUGGAAGAGCAUCAGACUGUAACGGUUUAAUGGUAGAUCUGAGGGUCCGCGGUUCGAUCCCGCGUGGCGGGA
rnacentral:tRNA from 2 species